UCUCCUGUAGCUCAGUGGUAGAGCGUCCGACCAUGGUGCGGAAGGUCAUAGGUUCAACUCCUGUUGGGGGAA
rnacentral:tRNA from 1 species